rnacentral:rRNA from 1 species
GAUGAACGCUGGCGGCGUGCCUAAUACAUGCAAGUCGAGCGAACAGACGAGGAGCUUGCUCCUCUGACGUUAGCGGCGGACGGGUGAGUAACACGUGGAUAACCUACCUAUAAGACUGGGAUAACUUCGGGAAACCGGAGCUAAUACCGGAUAAUAUAUUGAACCGCAUGGUUCAAUAGUGAAAGACGGUUUUGCUGUCACUUAUAGAUGGAUCCGCGCCGCAUUAGCUAGUUGGUAAGGUAACGGCUUACCAAGGCAACGAUGCGUAGCCGACCUGAGAGGGUGAUCGGCCACACUGGAACUGAGACACGGUCCAGACUCCUACGGGAGGCAGCAGUAGGGAAUCUUCGGCAAUGGGCGAAAGCCUGACGGAGCAACGCCGCGUGAGUGAUGAAGGUCUUCGGAUCGUAAAGCUCUGUUGUUAGGGAAGAACAAAUGUGUAAGUAACUAUGCACGUCUUGACGGUACCUAAUGAGAAAGCCACGGCUAACUACGUG